rnacentral:rRNA from 1 species
AGUGAACGCUGGCGGUAGGCCUAACACAUGCAAGUCGAACGGCAGCACAGUAAGAGCUUGCUCUUACGGGUGGCGAGUGGCGGACGGGUGAGGAAUACAUCGGAAUCUACUUUUUCGUGGGGGAUAACGUAGGGAAACUUACGCUAAUACCGCAUACGACCUACGGGUGAAAGCAGGGGAUCUUCGGACCUUGCGCGAUUGAAUGAGCCGAUGUCGGAUUAGCUAGUUGGCGGGGUAAAGGCCCACCAAGGCGACGAUCCGUAGCUGGUCUGAGAGGAUGAUCAGCCACACUGGAACUGGGACACGGUCCAGACUCCUACGGGAGGCAGCAGUGGGGAAUAUUGGACAAUGGGCGCAAGCCUGAUCCAGCCAUACCGCGUGGGUGAAGAAGGACUUCGGGUUGUAAAGCCCUUUUGUUGGGAAAGAAAAGCAGCAGGUUAAUACCCCGCUGUUCUGACGGUACCCAAAGAAUAAGCACCGGCUAACUUCGUG